GUUUUGGUGUGUGUCUGAGUUUGCAGGUCAGGGUGAGCAGGUUACCAUGGGGACUGAGGGCGGAGUCUGGAGCCACAAUUGCUGCCACCUGUCUCACAUCAGCAGGCUCAUUAUCUAACUCUACUCCCUGCUAUUUAGGGGCAAGCAGGAGCUCCAGUCUUCGCCAGAUUGUCACACUUUACUGCGUGCUCUAGAUCUCGAUCCCCUGGAUAACCACAGCACCCAGGAUAUUAACCAACUGCUUGCCAAGCCGACUGCCUGCCUGCUCGCCCUGCCUGCAACCGAACACUCUCACCACCUCCCGGUUACCCCCUCCAGCUCUAGCCUUUCUCUGGAAUUCAAAAGACCCACCGGACCUGGACCUUGCCACUCACAAUCACUGUAAUAAAUAUUGUUUGCAUCUUACCUCAUCUCUCCGAGUGUUACUGCAUUUGGGUCCGGUUCCUGGUACUACGGUCUCCGACCGUGUCAGUACAAUCUGGCCAAAACAUGGACCCAGCAGACGCUCUUCAUUCUGCCCUCGCAGGGCAAGGAAAACUCCUGGGAGAGCACGAAAAAGCUUUGCGCCUCCUCGGAGAACAACAGGGUCUAUGCAGCCAUCGCCUGGACAAAGUAUCCGAACAGUUGCAGUGUAUUCACCAAUUACUAUCUGCUUCUUCUCCAGCAGCCACCGGAUCUUCUCCUACUGCCACCCUGACUGGACCUCCUGUUACAUCCGAUCCAGUCUUCCGUGACGCCGCUUUUCCCACGCCUGAGCCGUUCUCCGGGGACGUAAGCAAAUGUGGAGGUUUUCUACUACAGUGUUCCUUAGCCAUUUCUCGUUCUCCCCGAUCUUUUCCCUCAGAUACAGCCAGGAUAU